AUUUGAGUAGCUUAAAUUUAAAGUUUAAUAUUGAAGAUAUUAUGAUAGAUAUUUUAUCUCUUGAAUA
rnacentral:tRNA from 1 species